rnacentral:rRNA from 1 species
CGCUUUCACUCCUACGGGAGGCAGCAGUGGGGAAUAUUGCACAAUGGGCGCAAGCCUGAUGCAGCCAUGCCGCGUGUAUGAAGAAGGCCUUCGGGUUGUAAAGUACUUUCAGCAGUGAGGAAGGUGGUGUCGUUAAUAGCGGUAUCAUUUGACGUUAGCUGCAGAAGAAGCACCGGCUAACUCCGUGCCAGCAGCCGCGGUAAUACGGAGGGUGCGAGCGUUAAUCGGAAUUACUGGGCGUAAAGCGCAUGCAGGUGGUUUGUUAAGUCAGAUGUGAAAGCCCGGGGCUCAACCUCGGAAUUGCAUUUGAAACUGGCAGACUAGAGUACUGUAGAGGGGGUAGAAUUUCAGGUGUAGCGGUGAAAAUGCGUAGAGAUCUGAAGGAAUACCGGUGGCGAAGGCGGCCCCCCUGGACAGAUACUGACACUCAGAUGCGAAAGCGUGGGGAGCAAACAGGAUUAGAUACCCUGGUAG